rnacentral:rRNA from 1 species
AUUGAACGCUGGCGGCAUGCCUUACACAUGCAAGUCGAACGGCAGCACGGGUGCUUGCCCCUGGUGGCGAGUGGCGAACGGGUGAGUAAUACAUCGGAACAUGUCCUGUAGUGGGGGAUAGCCCGGCGAAAGCCGGAUUAAUACCGCAUACGAUCUACGGAUGAAAGCGGGGGACCUUCGGGCCUCGCGCUAUGGGGUUGGCCGAUGGCUGAUUAGCUAGUUGGUGGGGUAAAGGCCUACCAAGGCGACGAUCAGUAGCUGGUCUGAGAGGACGACCAGCCACACUGGGACUGAGACACGGCCCAGACUCCUACGGGAGGCAGCAGUGGGGAAUUUUGGACAAUGGGCGAAAGCCUGAUCCAGCAAUGCCGCGUGUGUGAAGAAGGCCUUCGGGUUGUAAAGCACUUUUGUCCGGAAAGAAAUCCUUGGCUCUAAUACAGUCGGGGGAUGACGGUACCGGAAGAAUAAGCACCGGCUAACUACGUG